rnacentral:snoRNA from 1 species
AAUCCGUGUUGUGGGCACUGGCGAAGUAAACCCUUGUAUCGUUCUCAAUCCUCUGAAUAGCAUUCUGAGUCCAUUUGCUUAAAAGUAGUGAUCUUAUCCAUUAGUUU